GACGAACGCUGGCGGCGUGCUUAACACAUGCAAGUCGAACGGAAAGGCCCUGCUUUUGUUGGGUUCUCGUUUGGCGAACGGGUGAGUAACACGUGAGUAACCUGCCCUUGUCUGUGUGAUAACUUUAGGGGACUGGGGCGAAUACCGGGGAGGAUCUCCUGCUGCGUGGGGGUGGUUGGUAAGUGUCGGCGGUUUGGUAUGUACUCGCUGCUUAUCAGCUUGUUUGCGGGGUUGUGGCUUUCAAGGGCUUUGACGGCUAGCCGGCGUAAGCGCGUUAACGGCCACAUUGGGCCUGCGAUACGGACCAGUAUCCAACCGGCGGCAACAGUCGGGAACAUUGCACAACGGGCGGACGCCUGAUGCAGAAGCGCCGCGUGCGGGAUGACGGCCUUCUGGUUGUAAACCGAUUUGGCAUGUGACGAAGAGUGAGUGACGGUACCGGGUCAAGAAGCCCCGGCUAACUACGUG
rnacentral:rRNA from 1 species